CCUUCGUGUGUCGAGGGCCCAACACAAGUGGUGUAUCAACUGCACCACUCAGCUUGGUUUUAUCAGCAAACUUGCUGAGGGUGCACUCAAUCUCAGUAUCCAUGUCACUGAUAAAUAAGGAUGUGAUGUGAGACCAUAUCAAAGGCCUUGCAAAAGUCCAUGUGGAUGAUGUCGGUCACUUUUCCUUUUCCACUGAUGCUGUCACUCCAUCAUAAAAGGGCACAGCAUUGGUCAGGUAUGAUCUGCCCUUGAUGAAGACAUGCUAGCUUUAUUGGAUCACCUCCCUUGACUUGCACGUGCCUUAACAUAGCUUCCAUGAGGAUCUGCUCCAUGAUCUUCCAUGCACAGAGGUGAGGCUCACUGGCCUGUAGUUCCAUGGGUUUUCUUUUCUUCCUUUCUUAAAAAUGAGAGUGGUGUUUCCCUUUUUCAAGUCACCAGCAACUUCAGUUGACAUCCAUGACUUUUAAUAUGAUGGAGGGUGGCUUGGCAACUUCGUACUUUCCUCUUUAUUUUCUUUUAAUUCACUUAGUUCUGUUGCAAGGAAUCAUCUGUCCUCUUUAGCUAAUUAUUUCAACAAGUAAUAGGAAACUGAAGCCAGUGGAACAUGAGCUUGCCAUUAUCCUUAGUCAUUGGCUUUCAUGGUAUUGCAUAUAGAUAUUUCACAGCUUCUUGGUUUUUCUCCUUUUUUUAAUAAAGAGCUUUCUAGCAUAGGUGAGCCUGAUCCACUGUGCUACCUAAAAGAUGGAUUCUGUUAUCUUUUUUGGCCUUCUCUACGUUGAUGUUCAUGUCUCUGUUGUAUCUUGAGUGAGCUCACUGUAAAUUUAUUCAGCUAAUGCCACCGCAAAUGCUUGUCUAGACACUUGGCAAACGCUUGUGGUGUGUAUUCAGACUCAUCCGAGUAUAAGCUGUGAGCCCACGUGUCCUGGAACAAAUGUUUCAGGCUAUCAUUUAUAUGAUGAUAGUUAAUUUAAAUUGACACAAUUCUGAAUUGUCGUGGAUGUGCUAAUCCCCAGCUGUGGGUGCCCUUGAGGGAAAGCCUGUGCUACUGCCGGACCUUUGUUUUCUGCAAUGUGCUCUGGGAGGUGAUGGCUCCUUAGACAGUGGGGGGGUUAACAUCACUGAGAACUGUGUGUGUCUCUCACGAUUCGAAAAAGUACACAUUUCGGUUGAUUCAAUAAGCCUACUGAAAAUUUGAAGGCUGCAGGAGACAGUUCCUAGAAUGAAACUUUUUUUUUUUUUCUAGAUGGAGCCUCUUAGUAUGGCUGAAUGACUGCUGCAACCUUUCUGUUGCUUACAGCACACGUAUUUGUCUCCAGUACUACUGUAGAAGGGGAUAUGCUAUUUGAAAAGAUAUUUUUACCACAUUGCCUUAAAUCUUGUUGUAUUUUUUUUUCUGUGGUAAUACGAAGGUGUAAAAUUGAUUUCAGGAACAUGGAUUUGCUUAUUUAUUUAUUUAUUUAUUUAUACCUUAAAAGAUGUGCAUUCUCCAGUCUUCUUAUCUAUUUUGUUGAUUUGUCCUACACCCAUGGAAACACAUUUCUGAAAGCUGAAUAGAAGCGUAUCACUACAGUUGAAUGCUUUCUAUGGAUAUAUCCACCAUGUUUAAUGUUAAGCUGGAGUAUUAGUUUGUGUUGCAUAUUUUCUCAAUAGGUGAGUUUGUCUACAUGACAUAAAACAUCAAAAUAAUUUCUUUUGUGGGGUGGUUUUUUUUUUUUUUUUUGUAUUUGAGGGAAUUAUUAUGAGUUGUUCUUUCCUUUAAAUAAUACGACAAUGAACAAUAAGAAUCCACAAAGAGAAAAAUUUGUUGAUAUGAAGAAUGUCAUCUUUCUAAAACCUAAAUAGUGUUCCCUUGCUUCUGUCCCAGUUUUAUUCAUCUCAGAUGUGAUGCAAAGUCAUAACAGCUGAGGUGGGGAAUGGGACAGAAAGCCAUUGAGGGCAGCAGCUUUCUGGUGCCUUUCCUUAACUCUGUCAUGAUGCUGGUGGAGGGAAACCUCUUUUAGAAUUGAUUUACUCUUACUUGCAUUUUGUUCUGACUACAUUCUCCUGUGUAAAACCAGGAGAUCAACUUAAUCAAAGAAAUAAAGCUUACCUUGUAACAGAGCAGCUGUGUAACAGAGAAUGGCUUUCUCUCAACCAUUGCCUGACUGAUCUUCUGGAGCCUUCUCAACAGCUCCUCAUCUUCCCUCUACCAGAACUUCUCCCUGCUUACCCCUCUGAUAUUUUCUAUGAUGUCAUCUCAGGCUGCAGGUAGUGGGACGUUAUUUUCACAUCCUGUCACCUUCAAAAAGAUUGGAGUUGCCUGGAUUACAGAUCCUGUGCGUGGAAAGAUGGUAAAUUACACAGAAACCCUGCAGGAUCCCAGGAAAAAAUGAAGCAAACAAGGACAACAGGAUGCAGAAGCUGUGUGCAAUACAUCAUCCAAGAGCAAAUGCUUGACUGCAGCUAUUUCUCACAUGAAAGGUCCGUGCAACAAUUCCCGUUUUAGGCAAAGCCAAAUCCUUACACAGAAAAAAGUUAGGGAUAGAAUUUAAUAAGAACAUAGGACAGAUUGUGAUGAUCAGGUACAAGUCUCAAGCAUGCUGGCCAGCAAUAUGUUUAUUAUGAAAUGAGAAAACUCACUGACCUUUGUUGAAUAGGAAGACAUGGCAGGUUGAUUUGUAGACAGAAAGGACAAUCUGCAGAAAAGUGAAUAAGAACAGGGAAGAGACCAUAUGGUAGAAGAGAGAGUGGGCCAUGGAACUCAUUGACUCCUUUGAAGAGAGAUGAUAAAAAGCAGAGUUGGAAAAUGGGGUGGCAUGGGAGGAGGGAAUCAUGGAAUCAUAGGAUCAUUAAGGUUGGAAAAAAUAACUAAGAUCAUCUAGUCCAACCACCAACCCAUCACCAUCAUGCCCACUAACCCAUGUCCCUCAGAGCUACAUCUACACAUUUCUUGAACACUUCCAGGGGCGGCAGUGAGUCCAGCACCUCCCUGGGCAGCCUGUUCCAAUGCUUCACCAGUCAUUCUGAGAAUAAAUCUUUCCUAACAUCCAACCUGAGCCACCCCUAGUGCAACUUGAGACCAUUCUUUCUUGUCCUAUUGCUGUUACCUGGGAAAAGAGGCAAACAUCCACCUCACCACAUCCUCCUUUCAGGUGUAAGAAAAAGCAGGGAUAAAUUUGGCACAAAUAGAUUGGAUACUAAAGAUGUUUCUGAUCAAGAGUAUGGUGAGAGUCCAAAAUGUGCUCCCCAAAAGUAUUUUUGGCCAAAUCUGCAAUAACAGAUAGUGAGAUUUUAAAAGCAGCUUGGUCAAGGGUAAGUGAAUAUGGAUGCUCACUGUCUAGCAGUCUCUGCAGGGUCUGUCACCCGUCUCCAACUUGUGAUUUGCCUGCAGUUUGGUACCUAAUUAUUGUGCCAAAACAUCCAAAUUCAGCAAUAAGUUGUUUAUCUUUCUUUCCUAAAUAAACAGCAAAUAUAGAGCAGAACUUUUGUUUCAAACUGCUGUUUGUUUUCAGUGUCUUCAUAAUAUUUUUACUUAAAAAACCAAAAAAUACAAAAAUACAAAAAAAAAAAAAAAACAGCAAGGGACUGAAGUGUAAAGGGAAAUAUUUUUUUCCCGAAAUUUUGAAGUUUCAACCUCUUUUUUUGCUGCUUAAAGCUGGAAAGAAGAAACAGUAAGAGAGAUUUAUCUUUUCCCCUUUUCUUUCUUUCCUCUAAAAAACACAAACAGAAAAUUUGAUAGAGUAUUCCUGUAAUUUCCUGAGGUACUGGAAGCCCAAGUGUUGAUUCCCACUGAAAAGUAGACUUGACUGACAUUUUCUUUAACUAAACAUGUGUCUUAGUCAUAAUGUUAAAAAAAAAUGACUGGACAAAACUGUCUUGUAGGCUAUUGUACAAUACCUAGGAACCUUAAAGCAACCUACCUUAAAACAGAAAGCUUCAACCUGAAUGAAAUGGAAGAUAUUUGCAUUUAGACCCAACCCAAGCUGGGCGUAUGAAGGAGAGUGAAGUCCUGAAAAACAUAAAACAUUUUAAAAAUGUUAAUAGUAUUAAAAAAAAAAUCCUAAAUACAUUUGAAUAAUUAAAUAUUUAUUUUUCCUUAGCAUAAAAAAAAUGCAUGAAAGUUGUCUCGUCCCACUUGGUUGGUUGUGAGAAAGGUGAAUCUUUGGAAUCUCACAGAAUAAAGUACCCCUUGCUCUCCAGGAGUCACUGGGGCAAUGGAGUCAGACCAUGACUCAAAGGAACAAUACAAGACAAUUUACUGAGCUUUCUUAAAGCAACUAAUCAACUACUUUGAGGCAAAAAUAGGCAAUUUUCUAACAACGGUUAAUACCAUCAUGGAUAACAUACUUGGCAUAGGUGUUAUUUCCUUUGCUUUAAAGCUAAUUUAGGCAACAGCUGGUAAAGAAAAAUGAGUUAACGAAGAUUGAGAGAAAGG